rnacentral:rRNA from 1 species
AACACAUGCAAGUCGAGCGGUAAGGCACCUUCGGGUGUACACGAGCGGCGAACGGGUGAGUAACACGUGAGUAACCUGCCCUUCUCAUCGGAAUAAACGUUGGAAACGACGUCUAAUGCCGAAUAUGACUUCGGACCGCAUGGUCUGAGGUGGAAAGCUCCGGCGGAGAAGGAUGGACUCGCGGCCUAUCAGCUUGUUGGUGAGGUAAUGGCUCACCAAGGCGACGACGGGUAGCCGGCCUGAGAGGGUGACCGGCCACACUGGGACUGAGACACGGCCCAGACUCCUACGGGAGGCAGCAGUGGGGAAUAUUGGACAAUGGGCGAAAGCCUGAUCCAGCAACGCCGCGUGAGGGAUGACGGCCUUCGGGUUGUAAACCUCUUUCAGUAGGGACGAAGCGAAAGUGACGGUACCUACAGAAGAAGGACCGGCCAAC